rnacentral:piRNA from 1 species
UGUCUAGAUACUCUACCUGUAUAGAUCU